rnacentral:rRNA from 1 species
CCUACGGGAGGCAGCAGUGGGGAAUAUUGGGCAAUGGAGGAAACUCUGACCCAGCGACGCCGCGUGCGGGAUGAAGGCCUUCGGGUUGUAAACCGCUUUCAGUAGGGAAGAAGCGAAAGUGACGGUACCUACAGAAGAAGCACCGGCUAACUAUGUGCCAGCAGCCGCGGUAAUACAUAGGGUGCAAGCGUUGUCCGGAAUUAUUGGGCGUAAAGAGCUCGUAGGUGGUUCGUCACGUCGGAUGUGAAAAUCUGGGGCUCAACCCCAGACCUGCAUUCGAUACGGGCGAUCUAGAGUGUGGUAGGGGAGACUGGAAUUCCUGGUGUAGCGGUGGAAUGCGCAGAUAUCAGGAGGAACACCAAUGGCGAAGGCAGGUCUCUGGGCCAUUACUGACACUGAGGAGCGAAAGCGUGGGGAGCGAACAGGAUUAGAUACCCUGGUAGUCCACGCCGUAAACGGUGGGCACUAGUUGUGGGAACCUUCCACGGUUUCUGCGACGCAGCUACGCAUAGUAGCCCGCCGUCGGGAGGUACGAGCGCGAGAGUAAACUACUAAUAGAGUUAGAGCGUUGAGAGNGCCGACGGCGACGACGAGGGAGGAGG